UUAUGCCUGCCAACGGCUGGAGAUGCUCUAAUCCAUCGCGAGAGGGAGGCGCCUGGUGGCGACGACGCUGGCGCGAGGUCGUGUUGGCAAAACCCCGGCUGGGCUUGGUCGUAGUGGCCGCACCCCGACGCCCCGCGGACGCCGGCGCGAGGUCCUGGGAGACGCCGGCGGCGCGCAAGGACCUGGGCGACGACGCCGGCGCGAGGUCCUGGAGGCGAACCCAUGGCUGGGCUUGGUCGUAGUGGUCGACCAAUGGAGCAAGGAAGGCAUGACCGAUUUAUGUGUGGAGACUCUAUCUGAGUACCAUGGCAUUGUCAUCAAGACGUUUGUAAGUGAGGAUGAAGGUUUUCAGUCUAUAACAAACUAGGGGAGUAUGUUGACAUGAUCAAGGCUGGUAUCAUCGACCCUGUGAAAGUGAUCCGAACUGCACUUCAAGAUGCAUAACUCUCAAGUUCUCUAACCAUAUAGUAUAAAACAAGCAAAUUGUGCAUUGAAAACAAAAUCUGUCAAAAACAGAACAGUCUGUAAUGAUCUAAACAAUGGCCAUACUUCUG